UACGUAGGGGGCUAGCGUUGUCCGGAAUCAUUGGGCGUAAAGCGCGUGUAGGCGGCCCGGUAAGUCCGCUGUGAAAGUCGGGGGCUCAACCCUCGGAUGCCGGUGGAUACUGUCGGGCUAGAGUACGGAAGAGGCGAGUGGAAUUCCUGGUGUAGCGGUGAAAUGCGCAGAGUAUCAGGAGGAACACCAAUUGCGAAGGCAGCUCGCUGGGACGUCACUGACGCUGAGACGCGAAGCGUGGGGAGCAAACAGG
rnacentral:rRNA from 1 species